rnacentral:misc_RNA from 1 species
GAUGAAGAACGUAGCGAACUGCGAUAAGUAAUGUGAAUUGCAGAAUUCAGUGAAUCAUCGAGUCUUUGAACGCACAUUGCGCCCCCUGGCAUUCCGGGGGGCAUGCCUGUCCGAGCGUCAUUGCUGCCCUUCAAGCCCGGCUUGUGUGUUGGGUCGUCGUCCCCCCCGGGGGACGGGCCCGAAAGGCAGCGGCGGCACCGCGUCCGGUCCUCGAGCGUAUGGGGCUUUGUCACCCGCUCGAUUAGGGCCGGCCGGGCGCCAGCCGGCGUCUCCAACCUUUUAUUUUACCAGGUUGACCUCGGAUCAGGUAGGGAUACCCGCUGAACUUAAGCAUAUCAAUAAGGGAGGA